CACGCCCUGAGCCAAAGGCAGGCACUAAACCGCUGCACCACCCAGGGUUCCCAUGAUGUGUUGCAAGAACCAGCUUGCAAGAACUGAGAAGUGAAUCCAGGAGAAGGAAGUGGAGGUGAUGAGAUAAGCUACUCUUUCAAGAUGGUGGUAGGCAUUUUCUACCUCAACCACCAGGAUGACCAUGAACUAGUCAGGUAAGCUCUCUC